rnacentral:misc_RNA from 1 species
UCUCCGUAGGUGAACCUGCGGAGGGAUCAUUACAGAGUACAUGCCCGCCGGGUAGAUCUCCCACCCAUUCCUAUAACUACUCGCGUUUCUUUGGCGGGCCGCUGGGCCCUGCCCGGCCGCCGGCCCCGGCGGGCGCGUGCCCGACAGAGACCUCACAAACUCUGGAUGUUAGUGUCGUCGGAGUAACUAUACAAUCGUUAAAACUUUCAACAACGGAUCUCUUGGUUCUG